rnacentral:lncRNA from 1 species
UGACCAUCAGUGACCAGAGUGACCAUCAGUGACCAUCAGUGACCAUCACUGACCAUCACUGACCACCACUGACCAUCACUGACCAUCACUGACCAGAGUGACCAUCACUGACCAUCACUGACCAUCACUGACCAUCACUGACCAUCAGUGACCAUCACUGACCAUCACUGACCAUCACUGACCAUCAGUGACCAUCACUGACCAUCACUGACCAUCACUGACCAUCAGUGACCAUCAGUGACCAGAGUGACCAUUACUGACCAUCAGUGACCAUCAGUGACCAUCACUGACCAUCACUGACCAUCACUGACCACCACUGACCAUCACUGACCAUCACUGACCAUCAGUGACCAUCAGUGACCAGAGUGACCACUGACCAUCACUGGCCAUUACUCUGGGCUGUACUGGGAGCACUGGGAUCCCUCAGAUCCCAGACUGGAGCGUCCCAGGUGUGUCCAGGUGUGUCCCCAGGUGUGUCCAGGUGUGUCCCAGGUGUGUCCCCAUGUCCCCCCAGGUGUCCCCAGCUGUCCCCAGGUGUUCCCAGGUGUGUCCAGGUGUGUCCCAGGUGUCCCCAGGUGUAUCUCAGGUGUGUCCCAGGUGUCCCCAGGUGUGUCCCAGGUGUAUCUCAGGUGUAUCCAGGUGUGUCCCCAUGUCCCCCCAUGUCCCCCAGGUGUGUCCCAUGUCCCCCCAGGUGUCUCAGGUGUCCCCAGGUGUGUCACAGACCUGCAGCAGCAGGUGACAGAUCUCCAGGUGUCCUUUCUGCGCGGCCGCGUGCAGCGCCGAGCGCUUG